rnacentral:lncRNA from 1 species
CUAUUUUUAAAGAAGCAGUGAAGACUGAUGCCAGUCUUUCAAUUGAGAAGUUUCUUGCGCUUGGAAGCAUUGCUCCAGGUGUAAGCUGCACAGCCUUGCAAUUGCUUUUUAAGGAUCAGCCGUACUUUUCCUCAGCACGGAGGGUCCUGGCUUUACUGAGAGGGCAGUCUGUUCCUCUCCAUACAUCCCUGAAAAAAUGCAUAAUCGAGAAGCUAUAUAACUUUAACUUCUUCUCUCAACUGCUGGGAGAGUUUGGCGCUCAGAUUGCUCUGGCCUUGCCGUAAGUCUGCCUGAUUACUCAUCAC